rnacentral:tRNA from 1 species
GGAGGGGUGCCCGAGGGGUCAAAGGGGGCGUAUGGUAAAUCCGCUGGCGAUAGCCUUCGUUGGUUCAAAUCCAAUCCCCCUCCA